UACGUAGGGGGCAAGCGUUGUCCGGAAUCAUUGGGCGUAAAGCGCGUGUAGGCGGCUCGGUAAGUCCGCUCUGAAAGUCCAGGGCUCAACCCUGGGAUGCGGGUGGAUACUGCCGGGCUCGAGUCCGGAAGAGGCGAGUGGAAUUCCCGGUGUAGCGGUGAAAUGCGCAGAUAUCGGGAGGAACACCAAUGGCGAAGGCAGCUCGC
rnacentral:rRNA from 1 species